rnacentral:lncRNA from 1 species
AUUGACAAUGACCGCCUCACCCUUCAAACAUGGAAGUGAGUUAAGCUUUAUCAGUGAUGGAGAUGUCUUCCAAUUUCAGGAGGUUGUCCUUCUACAUGAUGUCCAUUCCACCAAAUCUACCAAUAGCAAGGGAUUGGAUUUGAUCAUCAAAGCCUAAUUCAGAGAUGAUACCCUUAUGCUCAGGCAUUUUUAUUUCAAGCAGGACAAGCAUAGUAGGUUUGUGAAGUUUCACUAAAGUAGUGCAUUGCCUCCUGAAAGUGAAACUGUUGGCUUUCCUAACACUCCAAAUGAUGAGAUUCAUCAUUCUAUACAUUAGGUUUGGUGGCAUGGGGUUGACUGUCUUUCCUUUCCCCUAUUCUUUGGAGGGAUUAUUCACUCUAGCUGAACUCAUUUUUAUACUAGGUGGGGUCUGGUUCACCAUGUUCCUCAGAUGAAGAGCGUAUGUCAUUGGAGUUUUGGGACAAAGUACAAUAAUACCUUUUCUCAAGAUCUCUUUGAAUUUUUUUUGGAAGUUGUCCUCGAGGAGAAAGGUUUUCAGUCUUUGAUCCCCAAGAUUUUUCAACAUUUUUUGUAGAUCUCGAUUAUAUUGUUUCAGGCAGUUGAGAGUGGUGUUUCAUUCCUUUUUUGGGUCUUCUUUCCAACUUUCUGGUUGGAAAGGUUAUUAUUGGCUCUGGAGUGAGCUCAUGGGGUUCCAUGGGAUGAAUAAAGGGCC